GCUAGUAAUGGCAGGUCAGCAUACUGCCGUGAAUACGUUCCCGGGCCUUGUACACACCGCCCGUCACACCAUGAGAGUUGGGAAUACCCGAAGCCUGUGAGCUAACCUUUAGAGGCAGCAGUCGAAGGUAGAAUCAAUGAUUGGGGUGAAGUCGUAACAAGGUAGC
rnacentral:rRNA from 1 species